rnacentral:rRNA from 1 species
UCUAGCGGCGGACGGGUUAGUAACGCGUGGGAACGUGCCCUUCUCUGCGGAAUAGCCACUGGAAACGGUGAGUAAUACCGCAUACGCCCUUCGGGGGAAAGAUUUAUCGGAGAAGGAUCGGCCCGCGUUAGAUUAGAUAGUUGGUGGGGUAACGGCCUACCAAGUCUACGAUCUAUAGCUGGUUUUAGAGGAUGAUCAGCAACACUGGGACUGAGACACGGCCCAGACUCCUACGGGAGGCAGCAGUGGGGAAUCUUAGACAAUGGGCGCAAGCCUGAUCUAGCCAUGCCGCGUGUGUGAUGAAGGUCUUAGGAUCGUAAAGCACUUUCGCCAGGGAUGAUAAUGACAGUACCUGGUAAAGAAACCCCGGCUAACUCCGUGCCAGCAGCCGCGGUAAUACGGAGGGGGUUAGCGUUGUUCGGAAUUACUGGGCGUAAAGCGCGCGUAGGCGGAUUGGAAAGUUGGGGGUGAAAUCCCGGGGCUCAACCCCGGAACUGCCUCCAAAACUAUCAGUCUAGAGUUCGAGAGAGGUGAGUGGAAUUCCAAGUGUAGAGGU